rnacentral:sRNA from 1 species
GGGCAUGGUGGUGCAUGCCUGUAAUCCCAGCUACUUGGGAGGCUGAGGCAGGAGAGUGGCACGUUCAAUACUAGCCUCAGCUAC